rnacentral:rRNA from 1 species
GAUGAACGCUAGCGGCAGGCUUAACACAUGCAAGUCGAGGGGUAUAGUUCUUCGGAGCUAGAGACCGGCGCACGGGUGCGUAACGCGUAUGCAAUCUACCUUUUGCAGAGGGAUAGCCCAGAGAAAUUUGGAUUAAUACCUCAUAGUAUGUGAGAAUGGCAUCAUUUUCACAUUAAAGUCACAACGGCAAAAGAUGAGCAUGCGUCCCAUUAGCUUGUUGGUAAGGUAACGGCUUACCAAGGCAACGAUGGGUAGGGGUCCUGAGAGGGAGAUCCCCCACACUGGUACUGGGAAACGGACCAGACUCCUACGGGAGGCAGCAGUGAGGAAUAUUGGACAAUGGGCGCAAGCCUGAUCCAGCCAUGCCGCGUGCAGGAUGACGGUCCUAUGGAUUGUAAACUGCUUUUGUACAGGAAGAAACACUGGUUCGUGAACCAGCUUGACGGUACUGUAAGAAUAAGGAUCGGCUAACUCCGUGCCAGCCGCCGCCGUAAUAC